rnacentral:rRNA from 1 species
ACUUAAAUUGAAGAGUUUGAUCAUGGCUCAGAUUGAACGCUGGCGGCAGGCCUAACACAUGCAAGUCGAGCGGUAGCACAGAGAGCUUGCUCUCGGGUGACGAGCGGCGGACGGGUGAGUAAUGUCUGGGAAACUGCCUGAUGGAGGGGGAUAACUACUGGAAACGGUAGCUAAUACCGCAUAAUGUCGCAAGACCAAAGUGGGGGACCUUCGGGCCUCAUGCCAUCAGAUGUGCCCAGAUGGGAUUAGCUAGUAGGUGGGGUAACGGCUCACCUAGGCGACGAUCCCUAGCUGGUCUGAGAGGAUGACCAGCCACACUGGAACUGAGACACGGUCCAGACUCCUACGGGAGGCAGCAGUGGGGAAUAUUGCACAAUGGGCGCAAGCCUGAUGCAGCCAUGCCGCGUGUGUGAAGAAGGCCUUCGGGUUGUAAAGCACUUUCAGCGGGGAGGAAGGCGUUAAGGUUAAUAACCUUGGCGAUUGACGUUACCCGCAGAAGAAGCACCGGCUAACUCCGUGCCAGCAGCCGCGGUAAUACGGAGGGUGCAAGCGUUAAUCGGAAUUACUGGGCGUAAAGCGCACGCAGGCGGUCUGUCAAGUCGGAUGUGAAAUCCCCGGGCUUAACCUGGGAACUGCAUUCGAAACUGGCAGGCUAGAGUCUUGUAGAGGGGGGUAGAAUUCCAGGUGUAGCGGUGAAAUGCGUAGAGAUCUGGAGGAAUACCGGUGGCGAAGGCGGCCCCCUGGACAAAGACUGACGCUCAGGUGCGAAAGCGUGGGGAGCAAACAGGAUUAGAUACCCUGGUAGUCCACGCCGUAAACGAUGUCGAUUUGGAGGUUGUGCCCUUGAGGCGUGGCUUCCGGAGCUAACGCGUUAAAUCGACCGCCUGGGGAGUACGGCCGCAAGGUUAAAACUCAAAUGAAUUGACGGGGGCCCGCACAAGCGGUGGAGCAUGUGGUUUAAUUCGAUGCAACGCGAAGAACCUUACCUGGUCUUGACAUCCACAGAACUUUCCAGAGAUGGAUUGGUGCCUUCGGGAACUGUGAGACAGGUGCUGCAUGGCUGUCGUCAGCUCGUGUUGUGAAAUGUUGGGUUAAGUCCCGCAACGAGCGCAACCCUUAUCCUUUGUUGCCAGCGGUUAGGCCGGGAACUCAAAGGAGACUGCCAGUGAUAAACUGGAGGAAGGUGGGGAUGACGUCAAGUCAUCAUGGCCCUUACGACCAGGGCUACACACGUGCUACAAUGGCAUAUACAAAGAGAAGCGACCUCGCGAGAGCAAGCGGACCUCAUAAAGUAUGUCGUAGUCCGGAUUGGAGUCUGCAACUCGACUCCAUGAAGUCGGAAUCGCUAGUAAUCGUAGAUCAGAAUGCUACGGUGAAUACGUUCCCGGGCCUUGUACACACCGCCCGUCACACCAUGGGAGUGGGUUGCAAAAGAAGUAGGUAGCUUAACCUUCGGGAGGGCGCUUACCACUUUGUGAUUCAUGACUGGGGUGAAGUCGUAACAAGGUAACCGUAGGGGAACCUGCGGUUGGAUCACCUCCUUACCUUAAAGAA